rnacentral:lncRNA from 1 species
UGAACACAAUGACUAUCUGUCUCACAUUUUUCUGAUAUUUAUUCUGCAAAUCAGCUUCAUGAGCCCCUGCCACUUCCCUGAAUAAGCUUCCAGGCAUUACCUGCAUGCUGUGUUCCUGUGGAGGGAUGGCAGUAAUCUCUGCUAAGAUAAACUGGAGCUUCUGUGGAUACAACGUAAAUGCAGUGAAGUGUGUGUGGCUGUAAGAUUUAAUGCCUCUACAGGUAAUUUUUUUGGAGGGGGGAUCUGGCAUUUAAUCAAAUCCAGAGUCAUUAUGUAAAUUUAAUCACCUUGCAACACACUAGUAAUUUUAUUAUCUCCUUUUCAUUUGACAGUGCUUAGAUACAAGUUGAGCUUGGAAUUCCAGAGGUAGAAUACUGCUGAUUGGAGGCAUAUUAAGGAAAAUGUAUUGUGGAAAUGAGAUUUAAAAACAAAAAACAACAAAACUUUAUUCUUGCUAUUGAUUGUCAUCUUUGUAUGUGUACAGGUGUCCAACAAAGGGUUUCUAGAAUAAAGUAUACUUGUUUAAGGUUUUCCACCUUUCUUAAAGCCCCCAGUGAAUUGCAAAGAGCCUGUUUUAAAUGGACUAUGUUAAAUCUGCCCCUGCCAAAUGGAAAACCAACCUUUAUGCUGAAUGUGAUGUGGUUCAAACUCUCCCUAACACAGGGGCCUCCUUUACCUUGCAUAGAGUUUUGGCUUGGUCAGUGGUUACUAGAAUGAUGUCUGAUGUUGGAUUAUUUAUGCUAUAAGGUCUGUUUAAAAUUGGAGACAGUAGGGGCUCCUGGGUGGCUCAGUCAGUUAAGCGUCCCACUUCAACUCAGGUCAUGAUCUUGUGGUGAGUUCGAGCCCUGCGUCGGGCUCUGUGCGGACAGCUCAGAGCCUGGAGCCUGCCUCAGAUUCUGUGCCUCCCUCUCUCUGCCCCUCCCCUGCUCAUAUUCUGUCUCUGUCUCAAAAAUAAAUAAAAACAUUAAAAAAAUAAAAUUGGAGAUAGUAUGUCCACUUAUCAACACCAUUUUUGAUAGGUAUUUAACAAUUGCAAUGGGAUUGAUGAUCCUGGAUAGACAAAUUAUCCAUCACUACAUCACUGUUUAUACUUUGAGGCUGAGGAAGAAAAAAACCUGGUUAAGUUAGAUUUCCCAAAAGGUACUUGGGCUUUUUGACCCUGUGAUUCACACUAAUGGUCAUGUCUUAAUGAAAGUAAUAAAGUUAAAUACUUUAUCUGUAAUCUAAAGAGUGGGAUUAGAAAGGAUGCAAGAGGGAAAAUAUGAUAAUGUGUUAAACGCACCUUGCUAAGGCAGAAGAAAUGGCAUUUUGGAUAUCUUUUCUUUCUUCCACUUCUCUAUUUUACUUUCCCGAUUUUCUCUUAUCCCUGAAUCUUAAAGGAAACUUGAGAAUAUGCCUUGUCCUUCAAAGAACCCAUGAGCUCCCACAUCCAUACAUUAGAACAUGGAGGCCCUUGGUCCCCCAGGAAGUCUUUCCUUAAAUCACUUGAUGUCUCUCCUGCUGUAUUUUGCAGGCAUGGAAGCCACCAGCUUGAACAAAUGCCCCUAAUUUGGGCUCAGUUCAGAUGAACAGGUUUCCGUUACCUAGAGUGCUACUUAUUCCAGCAAAAACUGUUUUUUCUUUCUAAAAACCCUUAGUAACUCCAUGAAUCA